rnacentral:rRNA from 1 species
CCUACGGGGUGCAGCAGUGGGGGAUAUUGCACAAUGGGGGAAACCCUGAUGCAGCGACGCCGCGUGGGCGAAGAAGUAUUUCGGUAUGUAAAGCCCUAUCAGCAGGGAAGAAGAAAUGACGGUACCUGAGUAAGAAGCACCGGCUAAAUACGUGCCAGCAGCCGCGGUAAUACGUAUGGUGCAAGCGUUAUCCGGAUUUACUGGGUGUAAAGGGAGCGCAGGCGGCACGGCAAGCCUGAUGUGAAAGCCCGCGGCCCAACCGCGGGACUGCAUUGGGAACUACCGGGCUGGAGUGCCGGAGAGGUAGGCGGAAUUCCUAGUGUAGCGGUGAAAUGCGUAGAUAUUAGAAGGAACACCAAUAGCGUAGGCAGGUUACUGGGACGGUUCUGACACUAAGGCACGAAAGCGUAGGGAGCAAACGGGAUUAGAUACCCCGGUAGUC